rnacentral:rRNA from 1 species
UCCUGCCUGAAUAGAUCACCCUGCAGCCCAAGACUGGUUGCCCACUGAAGCUAAGCAGGGUUGAGCCUGGUCAGUACCUGGAUGGGAGACCUCCUGGGAAAACUAGUUUGCUGCUGGAA